AGACAAAUAUGCGUAAGUACUUUUUUUUCCCAGAAGUGUUUUACCUGGUUUUAACGGAGACAUGUCACACUUUUUUAGCCCUUAAAUUAAUUUUUUUGUGUGUGUGUGUGUGUGCUUGGACUCUCUAGGGGUGCAGAAAAGUUUAAAUUAUCCAUUUUUAUUUCUCGGAGUGAUUUUGUACUCCAAGUUCAAUGAUGCCGAAGCUACAAGUGGAUAAAUCUAAAGUAAAUGUUAGAUGCUGGGCUGCAUUAACCCACACAAUUCAUUGCACUGUCCACCAGAAUCAGGCUGCUCGUUACGUCAAGUUGAUUUCUCCAGUAACACAGCAGUUCAAAGCGCUUCACACCAUAAAAAUAUAAUACAGUAACCAACUAUUAUGUGAUCUAGGACUAGCCUGAUCACCCUGUCCUGAUUCGACUACGCAGGGGUGGCCAAUUCUUUUUUUUUUCUAUCAUGUCGUACGCUGCUCUAUUUUUGUGAAAUUCCUCCAAGACUGCAUUUGACUCUCGCUCCUUUCGCUGCAUUGACUCAUUCAUCUUCACCCAGCCAGUUUCCCUUCUUUUUUUUAAUGUCUGUUCCUAUAUUAAUGACUUUUCCUGGUGGAGCCCAGAGACUCAUCCAUCCAAACAUCCAACACCUGCAGCAGAGAGGACAGUUUGUUCAUUCUUCUUUUGCACUGCAGCCACUCCCCACUAGCCCUUUAUUUGGAAUUCUGCAGAAGGAAUCAUUGAAUUAAAAAUUAAGAGGUGAGUGAAAACAGCUGUAGCUACUUUCCCGUCUCAUUUAUGCAGCUUUCCUCUUUGCUGCCUUUCUAUAGAGACCCCGCCUCUCGCCCACUGAGCGCUGGAGAUGGGCACCAGCGACCCCAUGACCCUAACGAUCAAUCGGUGUCGACGACGGAUGGGUGAUCUGAAUAUAUAAUGAAAACAAUUGCAUUAAGAAUUUAUACAUUUAGUGUAAUUUUAUAAAAAAAA